rnacentral:rRNA from 1 species
AUUGAACGCUGGCGGCAUGCCUUACACAUGCAAGUCGAACGGCAGCACAGCAGUAGCAAUACUGUGGGUGGCGAGUGGCGGACGGGUGAGGAAUACGUCGGAAUCUGCCCAGUCGUGGGGGAUAACUAGCCGAAAGGUUAGCUAAUACCGCAUACGACCGAGAGGUGAAAGCGGGGGACCGCAAGGCCUCGCGCGAUUGGAUGAGCCGACGUCGGAUUAGCUAGUUGGUGGGUAAAGGCCUACCAAGGCGACGAUCCGUAGUGGGUCUGAGAGGAUGAUCCGCCACACUGGGACUGAGACACGGCCCAGACUCCUACGGGAGGCAGCAGUGGGGAAUUUUGGACAAUGGGCGCAAGCCUGAUCCAGCCAUGCCGCGUGAGUGAAGAAGGCCU